rnacentral:rRNA from 1 species
UACGUAGGGGGCAAGCGUUGUCCGGAUUUAUUGGGCGUAAAGAGCGUGUAGGCGGCCAGACAGGUCCGUUGUGAAAACUCGAGGCUCAACCUCGAGACGCCGAUGGAAACCGUCUGGCUAGAGUCCGGAAGAGGAGAGUGGAAUUCCCGGUGUAGCGGUGAAAUGCGCAGAUAUCGGGAAGAACACCCGUGGCUAAGGCGGCUCUCUAGUACGGUACUGACGCUGAGGCGCGAAAGCGUGGGGAGCGAACAGG